ensembl:snoRNA
CUUCAUUAAAAAUCAUCUUUCUAGGCUUUGGCUGUGGCCAGAGUUGAGAUUCGGUGCCCAGGGCCACUGAGACCUCAGUUUACUGCCUGCUGCCCCAGAGUGGGAGGAUGAAACCCAGGCUCCUACAUUU